UACAGAGGUCUCAAGCGUUGUUCGGAUUCAUUGGGCGUAAAGGGCGCGUAGGCUGCGGGGCAAGUCGGAUGUGAAAUCUCAGAGCUCAACUCUGAAACUGCACUCGAUACUGCUUUGCUAGAGGACUGGAGAGGAGAGUGGAAUUCACGGUGUAGCAGUGAAAUGCGUAGAUAUCGGGAGGAACACCAGUGGCGAAGGCGACUUCCUGGCCUGUUCUUGACGCUGAGGCGCGAAAGCUAGGGGAGCAAACGGG
rnacentral:rRNA from 1 species